rnacentral:rRNA from 1 species
GAUGAACGCUGGCGGCGUGCCUAAUACAUGCAAGUCGAGCGAAUGGAUUAAGAGCUUGCUCUUAUGAAAUUAGCGGCGGACGGGUGAGUAACACGUGGGUAACCUGCCCAUAAGACUGGGAUAACUCCGGGAAACCGGGGCUAAUACCGGAUAACAUUUUGAACCGCAUGGUUCGAAAUUGAAAGGCGGCUUCGGCUGUCACUUAUGGAUGGACCCGCGUCGCAUUAGCUAGUUGCUGAGGUAACGGCUCACCAAGGCAACGAUGCGUAGCCGACCUGAAAGGGUGAUCGGCCACACUGGGACUGAGACACGGCCCAGACUCCUACGGGAGGCAGCAGUAGGGAAUCUUCCGCAAUGGACGAAAGUCUGACGGAGCAACGCCGCGUGAGUGAUGAAGGCUUUCGGGUCGUAAAACUCUGUUGUUAGGGAAGAACAAGUGCUAGUUGAAUAAGCUGGCACCUUGACGGUACCUAACCAGAAAGCCACGGCUAACUACGUGCCAGCCGCCGCCGUAA